rnacentral:tRNA from 1 species
GGACAUAGUCUGGUGAUAGAGCACCUGCCUUGCAUGCAGAAGGCCUCAGGUUCAAUCCCUGGCAUCUUCA